rnacentral:rRNA from 1 species
CGGAGAGGAGGUCGUAACAGGUCAAACCGUUCCGUAGUGAACC